CCUACGGGAGGCAGCAGUGAGGAAUAUUGGUCAAUGGGCUUACGCCUGAACCAGCCAAGUCGCGUGAGGGAAGACUGCCCUAUGGGUUGUAAACCUCUUUUGUCAGGGAGCAAUUGGCGCUACGUGUAGCGUUAUCAAGAGUCCCUGAAGAAAAAGCAUCGGCUAACUCCGUCCCAGCAGCCGCGGUAAUACGGAGGAUGCGAGCGUUAUCCGGUUUUAUUGGGUUAAAAGGGUGCGUAGGCGGAAUGCCAAGUCAGCGGUAAAAUCGCGGGGCUAACCCGCGCUCCGCCGUUGAAACUGGCGUUCUAGAGUGGGCGAGAAGUAUGCGGAAUGCGUGGUGUAGCGGUGAAAUGCAUAGAUA
rnacentral:rRNA from 1 species